UAGACCUUGAUAUGUCCAAAUUAGUUCAAGCAUUAGUCAUUGAUUUGAAUGAUAAACACCAGUGUAAUUAAAUGAUUUCGAAAAUCAGAUAAAACGGAUUUGUGAGUAAACCAGUACUCUUACAAUCGAAUAAAAAGGUGUAGCAUGUACCCUUGGUAUACCUUUAUAACCACAGUAAAUAUAAAUGAUGUGGCUUUGCGCAAAAGAGAGAUUUCAAGAAAUUUAAUUUAUUUUAACAGUCUUACUUUCGUGGCCGAAUACGCAAUUCCCUUAUAACAAGGGAACAUGGCAUACAAUGGACAAAUUAAAAUGUUCCUUGAAUAAGCUAUCCUGUUAAUUUCAGCUUUAUAUUACGGCUUAUAAGAAAGUUAUCGGACUGCAAAAAAAUAUCAGGAAUUCUUCUAUAAGCCGACCAAAUUAUAAAGGUCACAAAAAAGCGAUCACUCCAUACAUACAGGUAUACUUCGCAAAUUAGUAGCUUAGCUGUCAAUGUUUUGUACAGUUAUGUGGAAUAUUGUAAUACGUGCAAACGAUUUUUAAAUAUUAAAUUUCUAAUCAGUCUCCAUCGUCCUUCCACCAUGCGUUUUUUUUUUCAAAAAUAAUGUCUAAAGUCUGUAGCUAAAGGUCUACGCUGCAAGAUGGAAGAAUCUUCUAACCAAAAAGAUGGCAGAUGCAGCAGAUGUCAACGGAUUUAAAACUGGAGUUCAUGUGACUCCUUGUAGACUUGAGUGUCUAGAGCGUCCCUUACUCCACCAUGCGUAAGAAUUUUCACAAAAAUACUGUCUAAGGUCUGUAGUAAAAGUCUAAGCUGCGAGAUAGAAGAAUCUUUUAGUCAAAAAGAUGGCAGAUGCAGC